AUGGCGGAGCUCAUCAUCUCGGCGGUUGUCGGGGACAUGGUCGGUAGGGUGAUAUCUCUUCUCGCUGGCCGGUUCAAAGGCCAAGGGUGCACCGAAGCCAAGCUACGGAGGAUUUGCCAUAUGCUUGUCAAGGUUCACAGUGCGGUAGAGGAGGCCAAAGGGAGGCAGAUCACAAACUACGGUACCCUCGAGUGGCUUUCAGAACUCAGCGACAGUGUGUACCAGGGCCGCUACUUGCUCGACACGGUCGGAUGCAGAGAGGAGUUUGAAGAUGAGCAUGCUGACAAGGUAGUUGCACAACUUUUCUCUUUCUCCUUGCUUAAUCCUGCAAAGCGUGUGCGCUUAGCGGCAGGUGCCGUGAAGAGCCUAUUGUCUCGCCAAGAUGUUGGUGUUCCUGAGAUAGAUAGAGUGGUAGAGAUCUUAGAGGUCGUAUCCGGUGAUCUCAAGGAGUUCCUGAUGCUCCUACAGAACUGUCAGCCGAUCCAACGCCCUUUGGCUACUAAUAUCUUUGUCGAGGGGCAGAUGUUCGGUCGACAUGUCGAGAAAGAGAGGAUCAUCAACUUCCUACUGCAUGAUGGUGGUCCAUCAACUGGGGGGAAACUGGGUGUGCUCCCGAUUGUUGGCAGCAUGGGAGUCGGGAAGACCACCCUUGCGCAGCAUGUCUGCGAUGAUGAGAGGGUGCGCAACCACUUCCCAAUAAUUUUGUAUUCCAAUUUCUCAUACACCAGAGCAAUGGCUCGGGAUGAGGCGGUGUUUGUUCUUGGAUCCAAACACACAGUUGGAGAUGCUCAAAAAUUCAUCGAGUCACUACAUGUACUUAAGGAGAAAUGCCUCACCAAGAGGUUCUUGAUGGUAUUUGAAGAUGUUGACAUGGGCAAAAAACAGAUGCUAGAAGAGUUACUGCCAAUCUUGAGACAUGGCAAAUUCGGGAGCAGGAUCAUAAUCACCACAAACAACGGGGAUGUCGCCAGCUUGGGAACUGUGCAGCCAAUCAAUCUGAAGGUUAUGCCGCAUCAGGAGUACUGGUUCUUCUUCAAGGCACACGCGUUUGCUGGCAGAGAUGUCGAGGAGGACCCAAGGAUGCUAGCAGCAGGCAAGGUGAUUGCGAGGAAGCUAAAUGGGUCCUUCUUCGGAGCAAAAAUCAUCGGUGGGGUGCUGAAAGCUCAUCCGAAUCCCCGGUUCUGGAGCAAGGUGCUGAGGAGCAAUAUAGGGGGGUUGUCUCUGCUGGGCGAUGGAAUUGGGUACAUUGGAGAUUUGGCAGAAAAUUUGCUACCAAUCUACGCAGACGUGUGUAAGGUGACCCUUUCUAGGAGUCCAUUUAUCUUUCAGACAGAACUGGCUAGGUUGGAGGAUCUGUAUCAGGCAAGUCCGCUUGGUGAUAUCCGAUUUGGAAAAAUUCUGUUGUGCAUGUCAACGUUGCCAUUCCAACUCCUGAACUACACUGCUGAUUGCAAUGUGCGCGGACCGGACUAUGCAGCAGAGUUCAUAAAAAUUUAA
rnacentral:rRNA from 1 species